CGGACGGGUGAGUAAUGUCUGGGAAACUGCCUGAUGGAGGGGGGAGUAACUACUGGAAACGACUGCUAAUACCGCAUAACGUAUCGGGAUGGCAUCUUCCUGAUACCAAAGAUUUUAUCGCUUAGAGAUGGGCUCGCGUCUGAUUAGAUAGUUGGUGGGGUAACGGCCCACCAAGCCGACGAUCAGUAGCCGACCUGAGAGGGUGACCGGCCACAUUGGGACUGAGACACGGUCCAGACUCCUACGGGAGGCAGCAUG
rnacentral:rRNA from 1 species